rnacentral:lncRNA from 1 species
CUUUUUCUGACAACAACCUUAUGAGGUUCUGUGAACAAGACAAGACCAUGGGAAUUGUAGUUGAGAAGAGGAAACAGACUGCAGGUACAUGCUGGGGGAACCGGGGCUCAGGGCUUCGCCCUGCUAUGUCUCUACUCACUCUCUGAUGAUCUCUCCAAGGGACUGAUGGGGCUUUCAGUCCCAUGCCUGUAUCAUGGCAACCCAUAUUUCUAUCUCCAGCCCAGCCCUCUCCAGACCUGUGUGUCUGCCCAAUCAAUCUCUCCACUUGUUUUUCUAAUGAACACCUCAAACCUAAAAUAUAUAACAUUAAGCUGUCUUAUCCCUCUACCCCAGCAUCUUCCAAUCUCAGCCAGCAGCAUCUCCGUUUUUCCAGCUGCUUGGAGUCAUCCCUGAUUCCUGUCUUUUUCUCAUACCCAAAAAAACAAUCAGACAGAAAAUCUUAUAUAUAUGUAAAUCUUCGCCCCGGUUGGAGUGCAAUGGCGCAAUCUCGGCUCACUGAAACCUCUGCCUCCUGGGUUCACGCUAUUCUCUUGCCUCAGCCUCCCGAGUAGGUGGGAUUAAGGGUGCACACCAUCACACCCAGCUAAUGUUUUGUAUUUUUAUUGAUUGAUUGAUUGACUGAGACAGAGUCUCGCUCUGUCGCCCAGGCUGGAGUGCCGUGGCGCCAUCUCGGCUCACUGCAAGCUCUGCCUCCCAGGUUCACACCAUUCUCCUGCCACAGCCUCCCGAGUAGCUGGGACUACGGGCACCUGCCACCACUCCCUGCUAAUUUUUUUUUUUUUUUUUUUUUAGUAGAGACGGGGUUUCACCGUGUUAGCCAGGAUGGUCUCGAUCUCCUGACCUCUUGAUCCGCUCACCUUGGCCUCCCAAAGUGCUGGGAUUACAGGCGUGAGCCACCGCGCCCGGCCUUUUAUCCUACUUUCAAAAAACAUACCCAGAGUCUGAGUGUUUCUCCUUACCUCCAGCGCCACUCCAUGGCCCGAGCUCUGUUUCACCUGGUUCUCACCUGGAUCGCGGCCUCCAAUUUGCGCAGUGACCCCUACAGUCUAUUCUCCAAACAGCAGCUGGCGUGGUCAUUAUGAAAAGCAAUGUCCACCUGCUGCUCAAAAACCCACGAAUGGCUCCCCAUUUCUUUCCCAUUAAAGCCAAAGUCUAAAACAUUUACAAAGCGUUAUAUGAUCAGUUCCUACCUGCUUUCCUUAUGUUGGAGGCUGUGAAGCUCCU